GAGUUUUGAUUCCGUAGGCGUCAGGAUGAACGCUGGCGGCGUGCUUUAACACAUGCAAGUCGAGCGAAAAUAAUUUGAGAGCUUGCUUUUUGAUUAUUUUUAGCGGCGGACGGGUGAGUAACGUGUGGGUAACCUGCCUUUUACUGUGGAAUAAUCGUUGGAAACGACGACUAAUACCGCAUACGGUUCUUGGAAGGCAUCUUCUAAGAAAGAAAGGAUUUAUUCGGUAAAAGAUGGGCCCGCAUCUGAUUAGCUAGUUGGUGAGAUAAUAGCCCACCAAGGCAACGAUCAGUAGCCGACCUGAGAGGGUGACCGGCCACAUUGGGACUGAGACACGGCCCAAACUCCUACGGGAGGCAGCAGUGGGGAAUAUUGCACAAUGGGCGAAAGCCUGAUGCAGCAACGCCGCGUGAAGGAAGACGGUUUUCGGAUUGUAAACUUCUAUCAAUAGGGAAGAAAGAAAUGACGGUACCUAAAUAAGAACGCCCCGGCUAACUACGUG
rnacentral:rRNA from 1 species